UCGAGAAUCUUUCACAAUGGGGGCAACCCUGAUGGAGCGACGCCGCGUGGAGGAUAAGGUCUUCGGAUUGUAAACUCCUGUCAUGCGCGAACAAGGUUGCAAGGUUAAUAACUUUGCAAACUGAUGGUACCGCAAGAGGAAGAGACGGCUAACUCUGUGCCAGCAGCCGCGGUAAUACAGAGGUCUCAAGCGUUGUUCGGAAUCACUGGGCGUAAAGGGUGCGUAGGUGGCGUGGUAAGUCAGAUGUGAAAGCCCGGGGCUCAACCUCGGAACUGCAUCCGAUACUACCAUGCUAGAGUACUGAAGAGGAAACUAGAAUUCUCGGUGUAGCAGUGAAAUGCGUAGAUAUCGAGAGGAAUACCAAAGGCGAAGGCAGGUUUCUUGGCAGUUACUGACACUGAGGCACGAAGGCCAGGGGAGCGAACGGGAUUAGAUACCCCGGUAGUCCUGGCAGUAAACGGUGUACACUUGGUGUGGGGGGAUUCGGCCCCUUCCGCGCCGGAGCUAACGCGUUAAGUGUACCGCCUGGGAAGUACGGUCGCAAGAUUAAAACUCAAAGAAAUUGACGGGGACCCGCACAAGCGGUGGAGUAUGUGGCUUAAUUCGAUGCAACGCGAAGAACCUUACCUGGUCUUGACAUGCAUUCUGUCGUUUAUGAAAGUAAGCUAGGUUAGCAAUAACCGGUUUGCACAGGUGCUGCAUGGCUGUCGUCAGCUCGUGUCGUGAGAUGUUGGGUUAAGUCCCG
rnacentral:rRNA from 1 species